rnacentral:rRNA from 1 species
UAAUACGUAGGCAGCGAGCGUUGUUCGGAGUUACUGGGCGUAAAGCGUGCGUAGGCGGUGCCAUAAGUCUGUUGUGAAAUCUCCCGGCUCAACUGGGAGGGUGCGGUGGAAACUGUGGUGCUGGAGUGUGGGAGAGGUAGGCGGAAUUCCUGGUGUAGCGGUGAAAUGCGUAGAUAUCAGGAGGAACACCUGCGGUGUAGACGGCUUACUGGACCACGACUGACGCUGAGGCACGAAAGCGUGGGGAGCAAACAGGAUUAGAUACCCUGGUAGUCCACGCCCUAAACGAUGCAUACUUGGUGUGGGCAAUUCAUUUUGUCCGUGCCGGAGCUAACGCGUUAAGUAUGCCGCCUGGGGAGUACGGUCGCAAGGCUG